UGCGUGUUUACUUCGCCUCCUCGCCCGAAGAUAAUCAUCUUUGCCACUCAGGAUCAGUUCCUCUCACCUCGAGCAAGACCUUCCAGGAUUCUACGGAAAGAAGUAGCCGUACGGGUUACAUUUUUGGACCAAGUUGUACAGAGGAUGGAAAAGUGUGCUGCAGACAGCGAGAGAAUCAAGUCAUGCAAAACAACCUGAUUAAGAUUAAGGUGUGAAAUUAGUUCUCUUUUAUUUUUGAGAUGUCCUUCCCAUGUACAUCUUUGUGGUUCUCUUCUUUUUGUCUCUGAGAAUAGCAGAAUCUUUCAGGGAGAUGCAGAG